rnacentral:tRNA from 1 species
GGGUUAGUAUCCAAAUUGGCUAAGGACGCUGUCUGUAAAACAGUUGCUAAAUGCGUUGUAGGUUCGAGUCCUACCUAACCCA